rnacentral:rRNA from 1 species
AACGAACGCUGGCGGCAUGCUUAACACAUGCAAGUCGAGCGCAUCCUUCGUGCUUUUCUGCGGUCGUCUGAUUAACGCGUGGUAACUUGCCCUCUUCUACGGAAUACCCUCGUUAAACUGAGAUUAAUGCCGUAUACGCCCUCAAGGGGUAAGAUUUAUCGGAGGAGGAUCGGCCCGCGUUGGAUUAGGUAGUUGGUGGGGUAACGGCAUACCAAGCCGACGAUCCAUAGCUGGUUUGAGAGGAUGAUCAGCCACACUGGGAAUGAGACACGGCCCAGAAUAGUACGGGAGGGAGGAGUGGGGAAUCUUGGAGAAUGGGGGCAAAUAUGAUAAAGCCAUGUGGGGUGAUAGAUGAAGGGAUUAGGGAUGUAAAGAUCUUUGAGAUGGGAAGAUAAUGACGGUAACAGAAGAAGAAGCACCGGCUAACUACGUG